CGCCUCAACCUCACCUUGGUCGAGUGGCAGGAGAAGACCUUCAUGUGUGGAGUCACCCACAAGGCCUCGAACACCGACGUGCUGGUCACCGGCCACAAGUGCCUCAGCGCCCCUCCGGACUCCAGCUCCAUCCAAGUCUUCGUCCUCCCCCCGUCCCCCUUGGACCUUUACGUGUCCCAGAACCCCAAACUCCGCUGCGUGGUCACCAGUUUGCCCAGUGACGAUGGGCUGGAGCUGACCUGGAGCCAGGAGGGAGGAGGGACCCUUCGCCCCAACCUCCUCCAAAUCAAAGCCCAGUUCAACGGCACCUUCACGGCCACCAGAGAGGUCUCGGUGUCCACCCGCGAUUGGGACAAUGGGGAGACCUUCACCUGCCGGGUCCACCACAGAGACCUGCCCUCUCCCAUCAGCCGCAGCAUCGCCAAGAAGCCAGGCAAGCGCUUGACCCCCAGCGUCUACCUCUUGCCACCACCUUCGGAGGAGCUGAGCGGGUCCCGUCCCACCUUAAGCUUGACCUGUUUGGUGCGAGGCUUCUACCCCGAGGCCAUCUCGGUGGAGUGGCAGAAGAACCAGGACCCAUUGGACUCCUCAGCCUACGACACCACCCCCCCUAUGAAGGAGAAGGUGGGAGAUGCCUCCUACUUCCUCUACAGCCGCUUGGUGGUGAAGAGGGAGGACUGGAACAAGGGGACAACCUACGUGUGCAUGGUGGUCCAUGAGGGGCUGCCCAUGAGGUUCAUCCAGCGCAGCAUCAACAGGACCCCCGGUAAAAGGAAGUGA